UGUGAUAUGCCAGAUAAAUGGGAAAUAUUGAUAAUAUUUUUAUGUAUAUAUAUACUGUCACAU
rnacentral:tRNA from 1 species